rnacentral:misc_RNA from 1 species
CAGCAACGUCCACGCGUGCAUACCUCUUCAGUUCUGCUGCAUGGCUUGAUUGCUUUGCGCAUUCCGUGGGUUUCUUGUGUUGCAUACCUGGUCGAAGGCAUUGUAUGGAUUGAUCGAAGUACCUUUUCGUCGUGCUAUGCUUACGUGUAACGUGAUGAACCUCGAAGCGGUCUCUGUUGUCCAUAUCUUUGAUGCUCAUGCGUCGGUGACUUGGCCCAUGGAGCGUCGCUUGGUCUCUCGGAUACGGAAGCUGAUGUGGGCAUGGGGUCUUGUAUGAGAUCCUGUAUUUGCCCUCGUUAAGCGUUCUCGCUUCUCAAAACGACCGCCCAUUGCGUCUCGGCUUGUCCGUGUGUGGUGGGCUACGUUGAUG